rnacentral:misc_RNA from 1 species
GGUUGGAUCAUUAUUAGAACUCAACCCCUGGGUGAGGGUCUCUCUCUCGAGGGAGUCCCGAGCCUGGGGUAAACCAAACCCGUGAUGUGAAAUCGAAUAGUUUCUAUAUUAUUUUAAAACCUGAACUAGUCGGGGGCUGGUCCGUGAGGUGGUCCGAGUAUCGAGAUAGGAAGGGGCUCUCUAGAGCUCUGGGUGAUCGAGAGAAAAAGGCUGCCGAUAUCGUCGAUAGGUCUCCAUUUUGAACCAUUAUAACCUUUUGCGGUGGAUGUCUCGGUUACCCCUUCGAUGAAGAGCGCAGCAAAGUGCGAUAAUUAAUGUGAAUUGCAGGGUCUGUGAAUCAUCGAGUUCUUGAACGCAUUGCGCCUUAGAGCCUCGGCUCUUCGGCAUACUAUAUUCAGCGGCUAGCAAUUUCUACCAUUCGUGGUGAUUGGCCUAAGUAGGGACCUCUCCUACCCCGGUCUAAGUUUCGGCUCUCUCUCCUCUAACAGGGGGUGGGGGUCUGGGUGUAAUAAUGAAGGGUACGUGGCCUUGCCUCCGCGGUGCGGGGGAAAAAACAAGGCGAGGAAAGGAGAGUGGCCUCGGCCUUCUCCCUACUCACUGGCUCCACGGCCGGCACACGAAUAGCUCCUUAUCCGAGUAGCGGGCCAGGGUUUCUAGGCUGGGCAGAGUCCUCACCAAAGUUGGGUGGGAUGUCACUCGUGAUCUAUCGAGUUUGGACCUUAAACUUAGUCGCGUGCUGGUAACUUCCCGGCCGGCUUUUGUGAGUCUGGAUUACGUGAUCGAGGAAGCAUUCCUUAAGCUCUUCGGAGGUACGAUUGAGGUUCUCAAGUAGGCCGGGCUGCAACGAGAGACGAGUGCUUUAGCGAAAAGGUGAUCGGCGAACCGCUAAUUGCCCUGAGUAUAGUAAGACCACCCCGGGGAUUUAAGCAUAUCAUUACCGGGAGGAAAAGAAACUAACGAGGAUUCCCCUAGUAACUGCGAGUGAAGAGGGAAAAGCUCAAGCCCUAAUCUAGUAGGCCUCGGCCUAUUCGAAUUGUAGUUUUGUGAACGGAACCUGGUUGGGUCGCGUCUAAAGUCCCCUGGAAAGGGGCACCGUAGAGGGUGAUAGUCCCGUCGGGCGUUGAUUUGAUCGUCAGGGCUCUAGUUCUUAGAGUCGUACACCUUGAGAUCGGUGUGCUAAUUGGGUGGUAAACUCCAUCUAAAGCUAAAUAUUGGGGGGUAAUCCGAUAGUGCACAAGUAGCGUGAGCGAAAGAUGCAAAGAACUCUGGAGAGAGAGUUAAAAGUACCUGAAACCGCAUUAGGGGAAGCGAUUUUCCGUAGCCACACGAUGGGCUGAGUUCAAGCUAGGCGAGUUUGAUGAGUGGGGCGAGCGAUAGGCCAGUGGCUUAGGCGGACCUUAUUUGUUGGGCGAGCUUGGUGGCAUUCUUAGUCAUGAUCGGUCAGUAGGGAUUGGGUAGGUCUUUGAAGUGGGUCUGAAGGAAGCUAACCUCGGUUAGUGGAUUUCUCUCCUCGAUGAGAUUUAUGCGGUCCUAGUCUUAAGCUCAUUCCGGGGGCCGCAAGGCGAGUGUAGGUAUCAAAGUUGGGUUAGCUAGGCUGGGGACUAUUUAUAGUGCCUGGUUUGGUUGGUCUUUCUGAGGUGCCGAGGCUCACCCUAGAAGGUACUGAUAGUGCGAGGUUAAUUGUCCCGUCUUGAAACACGGACCAAGGAGUGUAUCAUUGUGCCGAGUCAAAGGGUGAGGAAACCUAGAGGCGAAGCGAAAGCAUAAGGAACCUAUCCGGGGCUGGUCCCUGGCCGCAGUUUCGUUCUCUCUUGGGCUUGCUCUCGAGGGAAAAGGAGGUGCAAUGAUACGACCCGAAAGAAGGCGAACUAUACUUGUGUAGGUUAAAGCCAGAAGAAAUUCUGGUGGAGGAUCGUAGCGAUACUGACGUGCAAAUCGUUCGUCAAACAUGGGCAUAGCGGCGAAAGACUAAUCGAGCCUUCUAGUAGCUGGUUCCCUU